ACCGUGAAACUGCGAAUGGCUCAUUAAAUCAGUUAUCGUUUAUUUGAUAGUACCUUACCACUUGGAUAACCGUGGUAAUUCUAGAGCUAAUACAUGCUAAAAACCUCGACUUCGGAAGGGGUGUGUUUAUUAGAUAAAAAACCAAUGCCCUUCGGGGCUCUUUGGUGAUUCAUGAUAACCUAACGGAUCGCAUGGCCUUGCGCUGGCGACGGUUCAUUCAAAUUUCUGCCCUAUCAACUUUCGAUGGUAAGGUAUUGGCUUACCAUGGUUUCAACGGGUAACGGGGAAUUAGGGUUCGAUUCCGGAGAGGGAGCCUGAGAAACGGCUACCACAUCCAAGGAAGGCAGCAGGCGCGCAAAUUACCCAAUCCCGACACGGGGAGGUAGUGACAAUAAAUACUGAUACAGGGCUCUUUUGGGUCUUGUAAUUGGAAUGAGUACAAUUUAAACCCCUUAACGAGGAACAAUUGGAGGGCAAGUCUGGUGCCAGCAGCCGCGGUAAUUCCAGCUCCAAUAGCGUAUAUUAAAGUUGUUGCAGUUAAAAAGCUCGUAGUUGAAACUUGGGUCUGGCUAGCGGGUCCGCCUCACCGCGUGCACUUGUCCGGCUGGACCUUUCCUUCUGGAGAACCUCAUGCCCUUCACUGGGUGUGUUGGGGAACCAGGACUUUUACUUUGAAAAAAUUAGAGUGUUCAAAGCAGGCCUUUGCUCGAAUACGUUAGCAUGGAAUAAUAGAAUAGGACGUGCGGUCCUAUUUUGUUGGUUUCUAGGAUCGCCGUAAUGAUUAAUAGGGAUAGUCGGGGGCAUCAGUAUUCAAUUGUCAGAGGUGAAAUUCUUGGAUUUAUUGAAGACUAACUACUGCGAAAGCAUUUGCCAAGGAUGUUUUCAUUAAUCAGUGAACGAAAGUUGGGGGAUCGAAGACGAUCAGAUACCGUCGUAGUCUCAACCGUAAACUAUGCCGACUAGGGAUCGGGCGAUGUUUCUAUCUUGACUCGCUCGGCACCUUACGAGAAAUCAA
rnacentral:rRNA from 1 species